AGAGCGAACGCUGGCGGCAGGCCUAACACAUGCAAGUCGAACGGACCCUUCGGGGUUAGUGGCGGGCGGGUGAGUAACACGUGGGAACGUGCCUUUAGGUUCGGAAUAGCUCCUGGAAACGGGUGGUAAUGCCGAAUGUGCCCUUCGGGGGAAAGAUUUAUCGCCUUUAGAGCGGCCCGCGUCUGAUUAGCUUGUUGGUGAGGUAAUGGCUCACCAAGGCUACGAUCAGUAGCUGGUCUGAGAGGAUGACCAGCCACAUUGGGACUGAGACACGGCCCAAACUCCUACGGGAGGCAGCAGUGGGGAAUCUUGCGCAAUGGGCGAAAGCCUGACGCAGCCAUGCCGCGUGUAUGAUGAAGGUCUUAGGAUUGUAAAAUACUUUCACCGGUGAAGAUAAUGACUGUAGCCGGAAGAAGAAGCCCCGGCUAACUUCGUGCCAGCAGCCGC
rnacentral:rRNA from 1 species